UUAAAAAAAAUGUUUGUAUAAAUGUUGUAAAUUAUUGUUGUACAUCAUUUUUCGCCUUCGUUCACUCCUGUUUCUCCCUCAUUGACCUCCAUCUUGUCAUGCCUGUUAAACGAAAACAUGCUAAAGGAACUUAGUUCCUCACGGGUGUCCCUAGACACACAAAAUUUUUUUUUUUUUAUUAGUUGGUUUCCUCCUUCCUAUUGUUGUUUAGUAGCACCGCCAGUCGGUGUAUGGCCCGUGUUAUAUUGCCGGAUGUUGUUCGUAUUUCUGCAACUCGGAUCUCGCCGACCCUCCCUUAUACCCUUAUAAUGCGUCCGAGGGGCCAAUUCAACGGAGCGAAUUGUUGUCUUCUUUUAUUAUGACGAGAUCACCAAUCUUUACCGUCUAACAACUUAGUCCACUUUGACAGAUUCUAUAAUUCAUGAAGGUGAAUUUGGGGCCUCCGAAAUAGGGUGCCCGAUGUGGUAUAAAUUUGUUUUCUAUGCUCAGAUUCGCGCAGGUCUUGUGUAUCUUGUGUAUAAUUCAUUCUAGGCUCCAACAAAGUUGGUCGCGUUGUCACUAUAGAUUUCCGAUGGCAGUCCUCGUCGUCCUCAAAUUCUCUGUAAUGCUGCCAGGAAGGCUUGGGUAGUCAAAUCUGUUACUACAUCAAGGUGUACUGCCUUGGUUGAAAAACAACAAAACACUGCUAGAUACACUCUAUGUGGUCGUUUUCCUCGGAUUUUAUAGUGAGUCCAAAAUGGCCCGCAGUAAUCCACUCCGCAAUUUUUAUGUCUAUGUUGUUGAACUCGAUCCGCCGGUAGUGGACUCAUUAUUUGAUUCAACAAUUUAGGUCGAACUCGGCAACAUCUGAUACAACGGCUGACUGUUUUUUGAGUAAAGGCUGACUCUUAAUGACCAGAACCGUUGCCUAAUGUUGCAUAAUAAUGCCUGUGGUCCGCAAUGUGCCAAUUGCUGAUGUUUCCAUUGAAAUAAGAGUAUUGUUAAUGGGUGUUUCGGAGCUAAUAACAUUGGAUGUGUGGCAUCAUACGAUAAUGCGGCGUUUUGUAGACGUCCCCCUACUCGAAUUAUUCCGUCCGUGACUAUGAACGGAUCUAGUGCUCGUAAUGGAUUUUUUGUCUUCUCGAGUUGCAAAAUGGAUGGUAGGAAUUGCUCGGACUGUAUUUCCCGAAUUACCACUCCUAACGCCUCAUUCAAUUCUACUGGUGACAAUGGUCCAGUCCUUUUCUUCUCUGGCUUGCGGCAAUUAAAAAUAAAUCGCCGCAUUCUGCCUAUUAUUUGAAACAUCGUAUUGUAUGAUCCGUGGUGGUUGAUUUCUUCCAUCCACUCUUCUGAUUUAAUGGCUAGUUCUUGAAUCUGGGCGACCCGGUUCGCUACAAACUUUUGAAAUGAGGAGGCGUUGAUCCAUGCAAACUCAGAAUCGGAUCAUAGCUAUAUCGGUUUUUACUUUUUUUGCGACCUGAGCUGCUAAUACCGCUGCACAGAGCUCUAAGCGUGGUAAGGUCUGUUUCAUUAGGGGGGCUACCCGUGUGUUUGAACAAAGCAAUCGUGUGAAAAUAUUGCCUGUCUUAUUACUUGUUCGUAAAUAUGCCACUGCCCCAUAUGCUGCUUCUGAUGCAUCUUCAAGCACAUGUAGUUGAAUGCCUCCGGAUCUUCAGCUCCCAUAAUAGUUGCAUUCUUAUCUUUGCCGUUGUGCCAACUGAACCAAACAACCCUAGAGGAUCAAAGAUUUUCGCAAGUUCUGAACACACGAUCCUCUUAGUGAUGAUUCAUGUGUCUUCUGUCCCCGCACAUCCUUGAAGCCAAUCUCCGUGUGGAUCCCAAAUAAUUCCGAGCGUCUUGACGGUUUGUUGGGUAAAGUUACUGAAGUCGAGAUUCAUUUCUUGGUCUUCUUCCGGAAUGUCUACUAGUAAUGCUGGGUGGUUUGCGCAUUAUUUUCUUAGUUUGAAUUUCGCUUCUCCCAACAGGUUUAUAAGUUGAUCCCUUUUACUUAGUCAUCUACCCUGUCAUAUACCUCUAUACGUAACAACCCUCCCAGUCGGACUUUUUGGUGCAUGCAUCGUGCCGCAGUCGCCUGACGCGCGCUUUUUUGCACCGUUUUCCGCUUGCAUGCAGACAUCAAGGAAAUUUUUUCCCUUUUCAAAGCAAUUGCUCUGAAAAAAAGGGGACUUAGAAAAUUUUCAUCUCGUUUGGGACUUAGAAAAAUUUUUGCGUGGGACAUUUAACUUAGAAAAAAUUUAUUCAUGCCAAAUUAUUAAUAUUAUAUUUUAUAUUAUUCAUUGAAUACUUUUAAGUUAUAGAAGUGUCAAUUUAAACAAAUUGUUUAAAUACAAAAUAAAAACAAAAAAUUUUAAAUUGAACUAAAAUAGUUUAAUUUUAUUAUUAAAAAAAAAAAUAAAGGAGUAAAAACAAAAGUUACACACCUCAAGCAAAAAAAAAAAAAUUGAAUAAUAAUGUAAAUCUUAAAAAUAAAUACAUUUCUUAAUAGUGAAUUGUGUAAAUACAGAAAACAAAAAAAUAUAAUAUAAAAAAUGGGUGAAAGGGUUGCCAUCGCGUGGGCGAUAUUUUUCUAAGUGCGGGAAUCGAUAGUAGCUUUAAAGUAUGGCAACUCCCCCACUCUAUUUAUUCUAGUGCAUUUAGUUGAAUUGAACGUGUUGAAUUGCAUUUUAACAAAAGAAAUAAUCAACAAGGAGUGAUUUUUCCACCUACGACGACUUCAUUAGGGCCAUCCGGGAUGGAAUAAGGAGAGCCAAAAAUAAAAAUUAUAAGGAAAAAU